GACGAACCGUGCGAACGUUAUUCGGAAUCACUGGGCUUAAAGGGAGCGUAGGCGGGCUAUCAAGUCUGGGGUGAAAUCCCACGGCUCAACCGUGGAACUGCCUCAGAUACUGAUGGCCUCGAGGGAGAUAGGGGCAUGCGGAACUGUAGGUGGAGCGGGUGAAAUGCGUUGAGUAUCUACAGGAACUCCGGUGGCGAAAGCGGCGUGCUGGAUCUCUUCUGACGCUGAGGCUCGAAAGCUAGGGGAGCAAACGGG
rnacentral:rRNA from 1 species